UGACGCAAAGGGCUGAUCUCUUCAAGGGGAUCUUCCUCCAGUUUUUCAAAAGACUGCUUUUAUUUCUUGCUCCUAAAAUAUUCUGGGUGUGAAAAUAGGUAGAGAAAAAGUUUAUGGAACAAUUCUCAAUUUUAUUACUUCAUGAGACUGUACACAGUCUUAAUAUAGGGAUACAAGAGACUAAGAAAGGAAAGGAAAAAAUUAAAGCAGAAUAUUACACACUGAUUUCUAGGAAGCAAUAACUCUCUAUAUUUACACCAAAUAUACACCUAAAUAUAUAAGGAAAACCAAAUCACAAUUUGAUUUGGUCAACCUUUCAACACUCCCCCUCAAGCUGGUCUAAAAAUGUCUUUCAAGGCCAGCUUGCAAACCAAUUUCUCAAAAUGUUUCUUAGGUAGUCCCUUGGUGAGUAUAUCAGCAAUCUGCUCAUUUGUAGGAAUGUAGGGCAUGCAGACCAAACCACUGUCCAGUUUUUCUUUUAUGAAGUGUUUGUCCACUUCAACAUGUUUAGUUCGGUCGUGGAGUACUGGAUUAUGUGCUAUUGCAAUGGCAGAUUUGUUGUCACAAUAUACUUUCAUAGGUAGAGAAUUACUUGCCUUAAGUUCUUCAAGAAUUUUUUUGAUCCAAAAAACCUCACAAAUUCCUAGAGCUACUGCUCUAUAUUCUGCCUCUGCACUACUCCUUGCUACCACUGUUUGUUUCUUGCUGCGCCAAGUGACCAAAUUUCCUCCAACAAAGGUGCAGUAACCAGAAGUAGAUCUUCUAUCGGUUACACUACCAGCCCAGUCAGCAUCAGUGUAGACUUCCACUUGUAGGUGCCCGUUUUUUCUGAACAAAAGACCUUUACCUGGAGAUCCUUUUAAGUAUCUAAGGAUUCUAUAUACAGUUUCAAAGUGUUCUGGUCCUGGAGCAUGCAUAAACUGGCUGACUAAGCUCACUGCAAAGGCUAUGUCCGGGCGUGUAUGUGAAAGGUAGAUUAAUCUACCUACAAGGCGUUGGUACCGAUCUAUGUUGGUCACAUCUUCAAUUUUAGCUGGCUGUAAUUUCAUAUUAGGAUCUAUGGGUGUCUCGGCUGCUUUACAUCCGAGUAGACCUGUCUCUUCAAGCAAAUCAAGAACAUACUUGCGUUGAGACACAACAAUCCCAUCUUUUGAUCUAGCAAACUCCAUGCCCAAAAAAUACUUCAGGCUGCCUAAGUCUUUGAUUUCAAAGUCACGUGCAAGCACUUUCUUUAAUCUGCAAAUCUCAACUAAGUCAUCACCAGUCAAAAUUAUAUCAUCUACAUAUACAAUUAACACGGCUAAUUUCCCUUCAAUAGAAUGUUUGUAAAACAUUGUAUGAUCUGCCUGACUUUGGGAGUAGCCGUGUCCCUUCAUAACAUUACCAAAGCGUUCAAACCAUGCUCUAGGAGACUGUUUGAGCCCAUACAAAGACUUAUGUAGUUUACACACUUUACUGCUGCCAUGAUUUCCCUCAAAACUUGGUGGUAAAUCCAUAAAGACUUCUUCUUCUAGCUCCCCAUUCAGAAAAGCAUUUUUAACAUCUAACUGGUAUAGAUUCCAAUCAGAAUGUACAGCCAAUGAGAUAAGGACCCGGAUGGAAUUUAUCUUUGCAACGGGGGCAAAGGUUUCUUGAUAAUCAAUUCCAUAAGUUUGAGUGAACCCUUUUGCUACAAGCCUUGCCUUAUAUCUCUCAACACUCCCAUCAGCAUUACAUUUAAGUGUAAACACCCACUUACAACCCACAGUUUUCUUUUCUUUUGGUAAAUCCACAAUCUCCCACGUACCAUUCUUCUUUAGAGCAUUCAUUUCCUCUAAAACUGCUAACUUCCAAUCUGGAUGGUCUAGGGCUUCUUUUAUGGUUCUAGGAAUUGGUAUCUGAGAGAUUUUUGUGGUAAAGGCUCUUUGUUUAUUGGACAACUUUUCAUAGGAAACAUAUCUAGCAAUGGGGUGCUUAGUACAGGUUCGGAUUCCUUUCCUAUGUGCUAUGGGUAAGUCAAGAUCAGGAAAAAAAAUGCUGGAAUGUUUAGGAGAAGAAAUGUUACCUGAAUUUUCUGAGGAAUCAGUGCUUGGAGGCGACGAUUGAGGCUGUACCGAGUUUAUGGGAGGGUCUUUACUGCUGUGAUGAUACUUUCGAGUAUAAACACGAAGCUCUGGUGGUGGAAUUUUAUCUUGUAGUAUUUCUCCCCCCGUCUCUGGUACAUUAACACUUGGUUCCUGUAGUUCAAGGUUUCCUAGUUUUUCAUUAUUAGAAAUAUCAGUUUUUUGAGUUUGAGUUGAAGUGCCCAGAUCAGGUAAAAAAGGAUUAGGCAUAGGUGUAGAAGUAUGCCAAAGAUUAGGCAUAGGUGUAGAAGUAUGCCAAAAAUGAUCUUCACUAUUUUCUUUCUCCCCCUGAAGAGAAUUUUGGCCAAAAAAGGGUUGAUUUUCGAGAAAUAUAACAUCCAUACUGACAUGGAAUUUCUUUGUUUGAGGAUUGAAACAUUUGUAACCUUUUUUAUUAGGAGCAUAGCCCAAGAAAACACAUUUUUCAGAUCUAGGAUCCAAUUUAGAUCUAAGAUGAUUAGGAACAUGAACAAACACAGUGCACCCAAAGACCCUUAACUGAAUAUUGGAGGUAAUCCUACUAGAAGGAUAUAUAAGUGUGAAGUAUUCUAAAGGUGAUUGAUACUUUAAAACACGGGUAGGCAUCCUAUUAAUCAAAUAACAUGCUGUUAAAACAGCAUCACCCCACAAAUAUUUAGGAACAUGCAUAGAGAGCAUGAUAGCCCGACUAACUUCAAGUAAAUGGCGGUUUUUCCGUUCCGCAAUUCCAUUUUGUUGUGGAGUAUCACGACAAGUGGAUGUGUGAAUUAUACCCUUUUCCUUACAAAACACCUCUAGAUAAUUAUUAAAAUAUUCAGUACCAUUAUCUGUAUGGAGUAGGCUUAUUUUUGUUUGAAAAUGAUUUUCAACCAUGUUAUAAAAAUCUUUGAAUAACCCCUCAACUUCAGAUUUUUCUCUCAUUAAAUAAACCCAACAAAGCCGAGUAUGAUCAUCUAUGAAUGUUACAAACCAUUUUUUUCCAGUUAAAGUGUUGAUUUUUGAGGGUCCCCAAACAUCACUAUGAAUUAAAUAAAAAGGUUUUGAGGCACGAUAAGUAAGUGCUUUAUAUGAAAUUCGAUGACUUUUAGAUAAAAAACAACUUUCACACUGAAAAGUAGUACAAUCAACAUUUUUAAAUAAAUCUGGAAACAAAUAUUUCAAAUAAGGAAAGCUAGGAUGUCCUAGUCUAAGGUGCCAAAGCAUUAUUUGAUCCCUAGCAGAGUUUGAACUAAUACUACUGUUCAAACCUUGAGCUUGUUUAUUCCUUGAUAAGUAGUCAUCAAAAUAGUAAAGACCUUCUCGGAAACUAGCACUGCCAAUCAUCGUCCCCAAGUCCCUGUCCUGAAAUUCACAAUGGGAGUCAAAAAAGACAGCACAACAAUUAGAAUCUUUGGUUAAUUUACUGACAGAUAACAGAUUGCAAGAAAGUUUAGGGACAUGUAGCACAUUUUUAAGCUCAAUGGUUCCAGAGAUUUUUAUUGAUCCUUUUCCAGCUAUGGAAGAUAAGCUUCCAUCAGCAACUCUUACCUUUUUGUUACCAGGGCAAGGAUAAUAGGAAUCAAAUAAACUAGAAAUACUAGUCAUAUGAUCAGAAGCACCCGAAUCAAUAAUCCAUGGUGCAGUAGUUGAGUGGCUAAAUAGAGCAUUAAUAAUACUACCUGUUUGGGCUAGUGAACCACUAGGAGUAGCAGUAGUUGAACCACUAGGAGUAGAGGAAAUUUGGUCAGACAUGGUAGGGAAGAGAUCAGAAAGAAAGGGAGCCUAGCUCUGAUACCAUGUGAAAAUAGGUAGAGAAAAAGUUUAUGGAACAAUUCUCAAUUUUAUUACUUCAUGAGACUGUACACAGUCUUAAUAUAGGGAUACAAGAGACUAAGAAAGGAAAGGAAAAAAUUAAAGCAGAAUAUUACACACUGAUUUCUAGGAAGCAAUAACUCUCUAUAUUUACACCAAAUAUACACCUAAAUAUAUAAGGAAAACCAAAUCACAAUUUGAUUUGGUCAACCUUUCAACACUGGGCUUAAAAACAGAAAUACAAAACCUAGAUGGAAACUAAUUGGUAUUACGCAUCCUAAGAAUUCUAAUAUUGUAAGAAAAGAAAUCUUAAAACUAAUGGGAUUCUAGCAUGUCGGGUAUAUGGUCAAAGAAUGGGAUACCUUAAGAAAAAUUGAAUGAUGAAAUGUGCAAAAGUGAUGUGGCAUAAGGGGAUUGCUUGAAAAGUCAAUACAAUUAUUUUGUGGGCCAUGUGAUGCUUUUAUCCAACCAAACUCUUUGUGCCACAUCUUCUUUAUAAUAGAAAUACAGUAUCAUUUGGAACAAGUAUAAAAACUUUUGGGCC
rnacentral:lncRNA from 1 species